CGCCGGACUCGGGGUCCGGCAGAGAAGAAAACGCUCCCUCCGCGGCUCCCAGCUAGGGCCCCGCUGCUAGCCUGGAGCCGCCCCUCACGCCGCAGGAGCCCAGCCCGCAGCGCCGACCCUGCCCGGAUCUGUGCGGGCGCCAGCGCCCCCUACAGCCUGCAGUCGCCCUGCGCGCCUCCCCGCGGGUAUUGUUUUCUAGCGCCUCUGAUGGGCGGACUCCUGCAGGCCUGUUGUGAGCCUGAGGUUCCUUCUCACAGCUGGGUCUAAGGUCUGAAUGCCGCGCCCUCAGAAGAGCCACAGAUGGGUCUCCCCUGAUGCUUGUCUCAAUUUCCUCUGAGUGGGAGAGCUCCGGGAAAGGAGCCGAUCCUGGUGGUAGACUACAGAUCUGAGUCCACGGGACGAAAAACGAGGCUCCUUGGAUUAGAGACCAUCCUGAGGACAUCCUUGGGAGUCAUGUGCUGAAGUUGGCCAAGCCACAGGAUGAAAGGAGCUGUAUCUUUGAGUCAGCACUGGAGAAAGAUAAAACCUAAGCAGAUGAAGGGGAAAGAAUGAAAGUGCAGGGUGGAAGCUGCUUGAAUGCUAACUGGGUCAAAGUUCUCCCAGAAAACCCUCAUAAAAGAAACCUAAGAACCUACAUCACCAGGAGACCACUGGGACUAGUUCCUCUGGAAUCCCUGAGGCCAGAUAAUCAGGUGAAGCUUUACUUUCUGUCCCUUUCUGGUCAUGAUCUUCUCCACAGUCUGCUUGGUGCUCCCUCCUCUGUGACUAAAUUCUUAGGAUCAACCCCUCUUGCAUAUGCACAUCCGCAGUGCCUGUGGGAUACAGUGUGGUAUGGGAAGGAAACCGUCUUCUGCCUUAAUAUUUUCCUGCAUGCCCCAGGCCUUGACGGAAUCCUGUCUCUCCAUAGUGUUGCUUUUCCAGGAGAUUGAUUGAUUGAUUGAUUGAUUGAGACGGGGUCUUGCUUUGUCGCCCAGGCUGGAAUGCAGUGGCGUGAU